UAUUGGCCCGCGUCGAUGCUCCCGGCCGCAUGGCGGCCGCGGGAAUUCGAUUAGAGUUUGAUCAUGGCUCAGAUUGAACGCUGGCGGAAUGCUUUACACAUGCAAGUCGAACGGUAGAGGGGGCAACCCCUUGAGAGUGGCGAACGGGUGAGUAAUAUAUCGGAACGUGCCCAGUCGUGGGGGAUAACGUAGCGAAAGUUACGCUAAUACCGCAUACGAUCUAAGGAUGAAAGCGGGGGAUCGCAAGACCUCGCGCGACUGGAGCGGCCGAUAUCAGAUUAGGUAGUUGGUAGGGUAAAGGCCUACCAAGCCAACGAUCUGUAGCUGGUCUGAGAGGACGACCAGCCACACUGGAACUGAGACACGGUCCAGACUCCUACGGCAGGCAGCAGUGGGGAAUUUUGGACAAUGGGCGAAAGCCUGAUCCAGCCAUUCCGCGUGCAGGAUGAAAGGCCUCGGGUUGUAAACUGCUUUUGUACCGAACGAAAAGGUUUCUAUUAAUACUAGGAGCUCUUG
rnacentral:rRNA from 1 species